rnacentral:rRNA from 1 species
GCGUAAUAGCUCACUGGUCGAGUCGGCCUGCGCGGAAGAUGUAACGGGGCUAAACCAUGCACCGAAGCUGCGGCAGCGACACUGUGUGUUGUUGGGUAGGGGAGCGUUCUGUAAGCCUGCGAAGGUGGCCUGUGAGGGUUGCUGGAGGUAUCAGAAGUGCGAAUGCUGACAUAAGUAACGAUAAAGCGGGUGAAAAGCCCGCUCGCCGGAAGACCAA